rnacentral:rRNA from 1 species
AGAGUUUGAUCCUGGCUCAGGAUGAACGCUGGCGGCGUGCUUAACACAUGCAAGUCGAACGAAGCACCUGAGAACAAUUCUUCGGAGGCGUUCUCUUGUGACUGAGUGGCGGACGGGUGAGUAACACGUGGGUAACCUGCCCAAGAGACUGGGAUAACACCUGGAAACAGAUGCUAAUACCGGAUAACAACACUAGACGCAUGUCUAGAGUUUGAAAGAUGGUUCUGCUAUCACUCUUGGAUGGACCUGCGGUGCAUUAGCUAGUUGGUAAGGUAACGGCUUACCAAGGCAAUGAUGCAUAGCCGAGUUGAGAGACUGAUCGGCCACAUUGGGACUGAGACACGGCCCAAACUCCUACGGGAGGCAGCAGUAGGGAAUCUUCCACAAUGGACGAAAGUCUGAUGGAGCAACGCCGCGUGAGUGAAGAAGGGUUUCGGCUCGUAAAGCUCUGUUGGUAGUGAAGAAAGAUAGAGGUAGUAACUGGCCUUUAUUUGACGGUAAUUACUUAGAAAGUCACGGCUAACUACGUGCCAGCAGCCGCGGUAAUACGUAGGUGGCAAGCGUUGUCCGGAUUUAUUGGGCGUAAAGCGAGUGCAGGCGGUUCAAUAAGUCUGAUGUGAAAGCCUUCGGCUCAACCGGAGAAUUGCAUCAGAAACUGUUGAACUUGAGUGCAGAAGAGGAGAGUGGAACUCCAUGUGUAGCGGUGGAAUGCGUAGAUAUAUGGAAGGACACCAGUGGCGAAGGCGGCUCUCUGGUCUGCAACUGACGCUGAGGCUCGAAAGCAUGGGUAGCGAACAGGAUUAGAUACCCUGGUAGUCCAUGCCGUAAACGAUGAGUGCUAAGUGUUGGGAGGUUUCCGCCUCUCAGUGC